GAUGAACGCUGACCGAAUGCUUAACACAUGCAAGUCCACUGUGGCGGACGGGUGAGUAACGCGAACAGACCAGGCCUGCCAGAUAGGGACACCGUUUGGAACCGAAUGCUAAUACCUAAUACUGUGAGAGAGCGUUGCGUCCCAUUAGCUAGUUGGUGAGGUAACGGCUCAACAAGGCGAGGCUGGGUAGCCGGCCUGAGAGGGUGAUCGGCCACAAGGGGACUGGGAGAAUGCCGUUACUCCUACGGGAGGCAGCAGGGGGGAAUAAUGGAGAAGGGACCACAGUCGGAUACAGUAUUUCGGUGUGAACGAUGAUGUUUUCCUAAUGUAAAGGGCUUUCAGUGGGGACCCGGUACCAACAGAGGCCGUGACGGCUAAAUACGUGCCAGCAGCCGCGGUCCUCC
rnacentral:rRNA from 1 species